rnacentral:misc_RNA from 1 species
UCUCCGUUGGUGAACCAGCGGAGGGAUCAUUAUCGAGUUUAUAACUCCCAAACCCUAUGUGAACUUACCACUUGUUGCUUCGGCGCGCGCUUCGGCGCCGCCGAGGACACUUGAACUCUUUGUUUUUAUAAGCAUUUCUGAGUGGCCGAAAGGCAAAAUACAAAUGAAUCAAAACUUUCAACAACGGAUCUCUUGGUUCUGGCAUCGAGAAGAACGCAGC